AUAUUUCUGGCCUCAGAGGAUCGCGCUUUGUGAGUUUUGAAUUUGGCAACAACGGCCAUGCCUAAUUAACUUUCCUGAUCAUCUUUGUGUUACAAAAUUUAGACAUGUGUAAACCGUUAUGAGGAUUAUUUUGGGGGGAAAUACAGUGAAACUUAUUUACAGCAAUUUGAUGUAAACCAAGUCUUAUGGAGUUGAGCAAAGUGUGCGCGUUAUGUGGACUAAGGGCAUGAACACAGGAACCUUAAUGUUAAUAUCGAAAAUUUGAAAGCUGUUGAAAACAACUGACAUUAUGCUAAACAAUUAAAAAACAAGGAAAGCAACAAUACCAACAAGUCACUGGGAGGGUGGCAAGUUGCCUUCUUAUAUGUAAGCUGUCCUAGUAUGAGCAUUGAGAAACAGCCUGAUAAAAUAACAACUAGCUCAAAAGCAGAAGGACAAUGGACAUGGGAGACUAAAAAGUAGAAUGUCAGCCAUACCAUUUACAUGAACCCUACCAAAAUCAAAGUUUUGAAAGAAUAUGUGAGAGAAGUAUUUUUAGUGAUGCAAUUACCGAAAAGAUUCAAGGAAGAUCUGAGCUACUCUAGAAACUUUUCAAGGAACUACCUGUACACAAGAGUGAAAACGUGGACUUUAAAUCAAAAAGUUUAACUUAUUAUAUUAAGUGGAAGACAAACAUUAGGAAAAUAAAAAGAUAUUCUGGAUGUGAUAUCUGUAUUAUGAUGUGUUUAAAAAAGGAAAUACACAGGAAUUAUGUUGUAAGUCUGGCCACUGAUUUAUAAAUGAAAUGAAGGCAAUGAUUCCACCCCAUCCGGUGCUAAUUUAAAAGGACUUAUUCAUUGGAUUCAAAAGCAUAAAUCAUCAGAAGUGUUCAUCUUUACCCUAAAGCGGAUUCGGACGCAACCUUUUAUUAAGGUGGAUUCCACCUAAGAUUAAGGCGGAUUCCUUUUUUGUUUUAAGGCGGAUUCCUUUUUGUUUUAAGGCGGAUUUUUAUUACCCGGAAUACGCUUAAUCUCAUUUAAAUAUUUCGAGCCAUAUACCGCCCGGAAUCCACCUGGACUCCACCCUGAAUCUGUGAUAUUAGUUAUACAUUCAGAGGAAUGAAAGACGGAAUCCGCCUUUCAAAUUUCGCCUACAUUCCGCCUUAAGUCAGGGUGGAAUUUUUCGUACGGGCAUCAUGAAUUGCUGACGUCAUUAUAGUACGCAUUUACAUCAUCAAUCAAAGCAGAAGAUUUUACCCACCCUCUAUAACUAGCAUUUUCGGUUAUUGAAUGUAAAAUGUUUCAUAUAAUUGUGAUUUUGUUACACCUUUUCUGCUGUUAGAUUUGUUGUAUUUACAGGUUGUGUUGCUUUUGAUCUUGCUGGGUAAAUGUACUGUCUUCAUCAAUCCCAUCGUCAUGGCCGUUUUUUCGCAUCUUCUUCACAAAAGUCUAAGACGACUCAAAGUGUGGAUGCGGCUUUUAGGCUUACCAGUAGUAUCAUUGGACUUGGUUAUAACUAAUAUGUGCUUAUCUUGACAGUAUGUAAUUGUGAACAUCUGUUCUCAGGGUUCACCAUUUUUGCAUUUUUAGGGAUGCCAUACAAGGCUAUAUAUUGAUGCCUCGGCUCCCUCACUUAAACGGCCAUGGCCCAUUCAGCCAAUAAAAAGAAUUCAGUAUG
rnacentral:sRNA from 1 species